UACGAAGGGGGCUAGCGUCGCUCGGAAUGACUGGGCGUAAAGGGCGCGUAGGCGGUUUGUACAGUCAGGUGUGAAAUUCCCGGGCUCAACCUGGGGGCUGCACUUGAUACGUAGGAACUGGAGUGGGGAAGAGGGUCGUGGAAUUCCCAGUGUAGAGGUGAAAUUCGUAGAUAUUGGGAAGAACACCGGUGGCGAAGGCGGCGACCUGGUCCUUGACUGACGCUGAGGCGCGAAAGCGUGGGGAGCAAACAGG
rnacentral:rRNA from 1 species